rnacentral:rRNA from 1 species
UUGGAAGGGUAAAAAAUCGUAACAAGGUUUCCGUAGGUGAACCUGCGGAAGGAUCAUUACCGAGUGCGGGCCCUCGCGGCCCAACCUCCCACCCUUGUCUCUCUACACCUGUUGCUUUGGCGGGCCCACCGGGGCCACCCGGUCGCCGGGGGACGCACGUCCCCGGGCCCGCGCCCGCCGAAGCGCUCUGUGAACCCUGAUGAAGAUGGGCUGUCUGAGUACGAUGAAAAUUGUCAAAACUUUCAACAAUGGAUCUCUUGGUUCCGGCAUCGAUGAAGAACGCAGCGAAAUGCGAUAAGUAAUGUGAAUUGCAGAAUUCCGUGAAUCAUCGAAUCUUUGAACGCACAUUGCGCCCCCUGGCAUUCCGGGGGGCAUGCCUGUCCGAGCGUCAUUUCUGCCCUCAAGCACGGCUUGUGUGUUGGGUGUGGUCCCCCCGGGGACCUGCCCGAAAGGCAGCGGCGACGUCCGUCUGGUCCUCGAGCGUAUGGGGCUCUGUCACUCGCUCGGGAAGGACCUGCGGGGGUUGGUCACCACCAUAUUUUACCACGGUUGACCUCGGAUCAGGAUGAGAAC